rnacentral:sRNA from 1 species
GCCCCUUAUACGCUGGGCUACACACGUGCUACAAUGGGUAGUACAGAGAGUCGCAAAGCCGCGAGGUGGAGCUAAUCUCAGAAAACUAUUCUUAGUUCGGAUUGUACUCUGCAACUCGAGUACAUGAAGUUGGAAUCGCUAGUAAUCGCGAAUCAGCAAUGUCGCGGUGAAUACGUUCUCGGGUCUUGUACACACCGCCCGUCACACCACGAGAGUUGGUUGCACCUGAAGUAGCAGGCCUAACCGCAAGGAGGGAUGCUCCGAGGGUGUGAUUAGCGAUUGGGGUGAAGUCGUAACAAGGUAUCCGUACGGGAACGUGCGGAUGGAUCACCUCCUUUCUAAGGAGUAUAUGUCUUUCUCUAUUCUAUUGGUAAUGUUCUUAGAACAUUGCACUGACCAUUGGAAACUAUAUAGUGGACCAACCAUGAAAAAAAUUAACUCUAACAAUUUCUUAGAGUUAGCUGUCAAAAAAAAUAGGUUAAAAUAAUUAAGGGCACACAAAGGAUGCCUAGGUAGUAAGAGCCGAUGAAGGACGUGGUAAGCUGCGAUAAGCCUAG